rnacentral:rRNA from 1 species
CGUGAGUAACCUGCCCUUGACUUUGGGAUAACUUCAGGAAACUGGGGCUAAUACCGGAUAGGAGCUCCUGCUGCAUGGUGGGGGUUGGAAAGUUUCGGCGGUUGGGGAUGGACUCGCGGCUUAUCAGCUUGUUGGUGGGGUAGUGGCUUACCAAGGCUUUGACGGGUAGCCGGCCUGAGAGGGUGACCGGCCACAUUGGGACUGAGAUACGGCCCAGACUCCUACGGGAGGCAGCAGUGGGGAAUAUUGCACAAUGGGCGGAAGCCUGAUGCAGCAACGCCGCGUGCGGGAUGACGGCCUUCGGGUUGUAAACCGCUUUCGCCUGUGACGAAGCGUGAGUGACGGUAAUGGGUAAAGAAGCACCGGCUAACUACGUGCCAGCAGCCGCGGUGAUACGUAGGGUGCGAGCGUUGUCCGGAUUUAUUGGGCGUAAAGGCUCGUAGGUGGUUGAUCGCGUCGGAAAGUGUAAUCUUGGGGCUUAACCCUGAGCGUGCUUUCGAUACGGGUUGACUUGAGGAAGGGUAGGGGAGAAUGGAAUUCCUGGUGGAGCGGUGGAAUGCGCAGAUAUCAGGAGGAACACCAGUGGCGAAGGCGGUUCUCUGGGCCUUUCCUGACGCUGAGGAGCGAAAGCGUGGGGAGCGAACAGGCUUAGAUACCCUGGUAGUCCACGCUGUAAACGGUGGGUACUAGGUGUGGGGUCCAUUCCACGGGUUCCGUGCCGUAGCUAACGCUUUAAGUACCCCGCCUGGGGAGUACGGCCGCAAGGCUAAAACUCAAAGGAAUUGACGGGGCCCCGCACAAGCGGCGGAGCAUGCGGAUUAAUUCGAUGCAACGCGUAGAACCUUACCUGGGUUUGACAUGGAUCGGGAGUGCUCAGAGAUGGGUGUGCCUCUUUUGGGGUCGGUUCACAGGUGGUGCAUGGCUGUCGUCAGCUCGUGUCGUGAGAUGUUGGGUUAAGUCCCGCAACGAGCGCAACCCUUGUUCACUGUUGCCAGCACGUUAUGGUGGGGACUCAGUGGAGACCGCCGGGGUCAACUCGGAGGAAGGUGGGGAUGACGUCAGGUCAUCAUGCCCCUUAUGUCCAGGGCUUCACGCAUGCUACAAUGGCUGGUAUAGAGAGUGGCGAGCCUGUGAGGGUGAGCGAAUCU